AUGGGACUUUCCCCUCUGAAUUUCUAUUGAGCAGUGUGGCUAUAUAAUCCAAAAACCUGUUGCGUGGGGCCCCAAACUUCGCCGGGUAUAUAGAGGAAGAGAGAUCGAGGGCAGGUCGAGCUGCAGACUCAGAGAAGAAGCAGACACCAUAUAGAAAUUGUCGCUGCAAAGUGCAAACACUCCUAAACCCAACAAACCUUCCUUUUUCUGAUCUUAAAACUCAUGCUUUACUGGAUACCUCGAAGCUACGAGAUCUCAGGUCCAAUACGAUUAAAACUUAAAAGGUGGAGCAAAGAGCAUAAUUAAUCAGGUGCAUUUAAUUGCCAUCAUCAUCACCUAGCUACUAGCUGCAAUCUGAUCUUCAUGAUGACAAAGAUGGUGGCCACGGAGUCCGAGAUGAUCCCCGAACUAGGCCAGGUCGAGUCGUCACUAUUAGCAGAUCAACAGCCCAAGAUCAAUCGUGUCUCGUCGCUCGGAAGACAAUCCUCAGUAUACUCCCUCACUCUCGACGAGUUCCAGCACACGCUCUGCGAGAGCGGCAAGAAUUUCGGGUCCAUGAACAUGGAUGAGUUCCUCACCAGUAUUUGGAUUGCCGAAGAAAACCAAGCUGUCAACAACACCACCACCACCACCAAUGUUAUCGCCGCUAAUAAUAUGAGCAGCCACACCCAGCUGUCUCAAAGCGAAGCGCAUACUGAGAUGGGAAAAGCAAAGCAGCCAAGCUUGCCACGACAAGGUUCGCUCACGCUUCCGGCACCUCUCUGUAGGAAAACGGUGGACGAAGUUUGGUCUGAAAUCCACAAAGGACAGCAUCAGAGUAAUAGUACUAGCCAUAAAAAUGGUGAUAACAUUCAGAAUCCCGAGUGUGGAGCUCGCCAGCCGACUUUCGAAGAGAUGACCUUGGAGGAUUUUCUGAUAAAAGCAGGGGUGGUGAGGGAACCAUGUACAAUGCCAGUAUCUCAACCCCAACCUCAGCAGCAGUACGGGUUAUACCAGAAUAACAAUUCCACAGCGGGUCCUAGUUUCUCAACUAGGUCUACAACAGGAUUUGGUGUUGCUGGUGGUGUGAGUACUGUUCCAACUCACCAAACAAUGCCACAGGGUGGUGGUGGGGCGAUUGGAGAGUCGUCAGGGUACGCUGGAAAUGGCAAGAGGAGUGGGGGAUACCCACCCGGGCCGCCGGCGCCUGUUUGUUAUGGUGGAAGGGUAGUGAAUGGUGGCGGUGGAUAUGGGGCGGCGCCAGCAAUGGGAGUGGUGGCACCGGUUAGUCCUGCUUCUUCUGAUGGGUUGUGCACAACUCAGGUUGAUAACUCGGGCAAUCAAUUUGGACUGGACAUGGGGGAACUAAGGGGAAGGAAGAGGAUCAUAGAUGGUCCAGUGGAGAAGGUGGUGGAGAGGAGACAAAGGAGGAUGAUCAAGAAUAGAGAGUCCGCGGCCAGAUCUAGAGCCAGGAAACAGGCAUACACGGUUGAACUAGAAGCAGAACUGAACCAAUUAAGAGACGAGAACACAAACCUUAAACAGGCUCUGGUAGAAAUUGAGAGGAAAAGAAACCAACAGUAUUCUGAAGAGAUGAAAACGAAAGUUCAAACCAAGGCUCAAAAAGCUAAGGAGAAACUGAGGGUGUUGAAAAGGAACCAAAGUUGCCCAUUGUGAUGUAAGGAUCAGUACUUGAUCAAUGAAUUACCUUUUAUGCAGUGUAUCGAGGAAUGAAACCUGAAAGGGUCAAACCAAAGCAAGAUCAAAAGCUAAUUGGAUGAAGACAGCGCCCGGUUCUUGCACUUGGUGCUCUUGUUUUUCAGUCCGAGUCUUCCAGGAUGAUACAGAGCUGUAAGCAUAGACUCACUUGAGUAUUGCUUGAAAUAUUCUUGCCCGGUAUCCAUUACCAAACGCAUUGCUUUCUAUAUACGUACGUUUGUCCGUGUCUUAGUCUAUCUUCACACUCAAGAAGACAGAACCUUCAUGGUCCACUGGGGCAGCUACACACCCGAACGGAGAAAGGCUAUGUACACUGAUCAGUUUGAUGCCCUGCUUAGAAACGGAACCUGGGUGAAACAUGUCGCACCCACUUCGGCCCAGAACAAUAUUAAUGUUGGCUGCAAGUGUGUGUGCAAGCUCAAACGACAUACUGGCGGGACAAAGAAGUCAAAGCUAGUUUAGUUCCCAAACGGCGUGCUGUUGAUAUAUAUAUUCUUUUUUGUAACUAUCGAAUAAGUCCUACUAAUAUUGCAUUAGUUAUUCGGACGCCAUUGAAGCGAGCUAGGGAGGUGAUCGAUUCCUUAGAAUAAUCUUAUCCAUCGCUUUAGCCGUUUGGGUA